GCAUUACUGAAGAGUCCCACACUGGGACGAAACAGUCGUCUAGUGC
rfam:Schistosoma rodhaini strain Burundi genome assembly, scaffold: SROB_scaffold0002570